rnacentral:rRNA from 1 species
UGCAUAUCAAUAAGCGGAGGAAAAGAAACCAACCGGGAUUGCCUUAGUAACGGCGAGUGAAGCGGCAAAAGCUCAAAUUUGAAAUCUGGUACCUUCGGUGCCCGAGUUGUAAUUUGGAGAGGGCAACUUUGGGGCCGUUCCUUGUCUAUGUUCCUUGGAACAGGACGUCAUAGAGGGUGAGAAUCCCGUGUGGCGAGGAGUGCGGUUCUUUGUAAAGUGCCUUCGAAGAGUCGAGUUGUUUGGGAAUGCAGCUCUAAGUGGGUGGUAAAUUCCAUCUAAAGCUAAAUAUUGGCGAGAGACCGAUAGCGAACAAGUACAGUGAUGGAAAGAUGAAAAGAACUUUGAAAAGAGAGUGAAAAAGUACGUGAAAUUGUUGAAAGGGAAGGGCAUUUGAUCAGACAUGGUGUUUUGUGCCCUCUGCUCCUUGUGGGUAGGGGAAUCUCGCAUUUCACUGGGCCAGCAUCAGUUUUGGUGGCAGGAUAAAUCCAUAGGAAUGUAGCUUGCCUCGGUAAGUAUUAUAGCCUGUGGGAAUACUGCCAGCUGGGACUGAGGACUGCGACGUAAGUCAAGGAUGCUGGCAUAAUGGUUAUAUGCCGCCCGUCUU